GAUGAACGCUGGCGGCGUGCCUAAUACAUGCAAGUCGAGCGAACGGACGAGAAGCUUGCUUCUCUGAUGUUAGCGGCGGACGGGUGAGUAACACGUGGAUAACCUACCUAUAAGACUGGGAUAACUUCGGGAAACCGGAGCUAAUACCGGAUAAUAUUUUGAACCGCAUGGUUCAAAAGUGAAAGACGGUCUUGCUGUCACUUAUAGAUGGAUCCGCGCUGCAUUAGCUAGUUGGUAGGGUAACAGCUUACCAAGGCAACGAUGCAUAGCCGACCUGAGAGGGUGAUCGGCCACACUGGAACUGAGACACGGUCCAGACUCCUACGGGAGGCAGCAGUAGGGAAUCUUCCGCAAAGGGCGAAAGCCUGACGGAGCAACGCCGCGUGAGUGAUGAAGGUCUUCGGAUCGUAAAACUCUGUUAUUAGGGAAGAACAUAUGUGUAAGUAACUGUGCACAUCUUGACGGUACCUAAUCAGAAAGCCACGGCUAACUACGUG
rnacentral:rRNA from 1 species